UACGGAGGGUGCAAGCGUUAUCCGGAAUCACUGGGUUUAAAGGGUGCGUAGGCGGCUUUGUAAGUCAGAGGUGAAAUCCCACCGCUUAACGGUGGAACUGCCUUUGAAACUACUAGGCUUGAAUUAGGUUGAGGUUAGCGGAAUGAGUCAUGUAGCGGUGAAAUGCAUAGAUAUGACUUAGAACACCAAUUGCGAAGGCAGCUGGCUGAGCCUUAAUUGACGCUGAGGCACGAAAGCGUGGGGAGCGAACAGG
rnacentral:rRNA from 1 species